UACGAAGGGUGCAAGCGUUACUCGGAAUUACUGGGCGUAAAGGGUGCGUAGGUGGUCGUUUAAGUCCGUUGUGAAAUCCCUGGGCUCAACCUGGGAAUGGCAGUGGAUACUGGACGGCUAGAAUGCGGUAGAGGGUAGUGGAAUUCCCGGUGUAGCAGUGAAAUGCAUUGAGAUCGGAAAGAACACCAACGGCGAAAGCACUCUGCUGGGCCGACACUGACACUGAGAGACGAAAGCUAGGGGAGCAAAUGGG
rnacentral:rRNA from 1 species